AAUAGACCUUAGGUUAAAUUUUAUUAUGUGAUCAAUUAAAUUAAAUGUGAGAGACAUUUAAAUUAAUUAAUUAAUGUUAAGUUUGGUGAUUAAAACUUAAUAAGAGUGAAAAAUGUGUCAAAAGCCAAUUUGGACUUUUCUUCUUAUGAAACCUUUAUUAACCUUUAUAAAAAAAUAAAAAAAAAUUAUGAUCACAUAUAUGGCAAAGGGUGGCCAGCCAUGUGCUAUUUUAGAGUGGUGUGAACCCAAUUUUAUAAAGUUUAACUCCCAUUUAAUUAAGAAGUCAAGUGGGCAAGUGGGUAGAAAAGCACUCAAGUGUUUUGUGAUAUUUUGAAGAGUUGUGUGAGCCAUUCUAACCCCCAAAUCCGACCACUCUCCCUCCCUCAUUCACUCUCAUCUGAUUUUUAAAGACUCUCUCAAGUGUUCUCUCCAUUUUCAACCCCAAGAACACCAAAGAAACUUGGAAGCUAAGUCUUGGUCUAGGAAGGGUUUUCCCUAAGGUAAAGUUUCAUUAAUCUAGACUUUUGUCAAGUUUUAAUCAUAGAGUUUCAAAUAGCUAAUUACCUAUGUUGUUGGGGGAAGUUGGUUAGGGUUUUUGAAAGGUUUUGGAGGAGCCAAAGCUAAUAGGAAGGUCAAAACCUUAAGCAAGAACACCAAAGAGGUAAGAGCAAGGGCAAGGCAGAGCAGUGAGCGCUGGAGUCUUCCUUGCAAAUGUACAUGUGGACCGACCUUUUGGGAAGCCUUUUUAUUUUUGGAAAUGUUGUGUAAUUUUCCUAAACUAGGCUCACUCUAAUCUUUAUAAAACAUGUUUGUAACUAAAUGUUAAGUAUGGCCAUACGACUUUUCAAAAAGUUUUUUUUAUGGGUUUUUGAGACAUUUUGUUAAAUGAAAACAUUUAUAUUUCCGCAUUAUCGAGUCUUGAAAAUCCGGGUCGUUACAGCAACAAAGGCCAGGAUCGGCAAAAGACGCGAGUGCCAAAGGCCGGGAUUGGCAUUAAGCAUGCUGAAUGGAGGCCGCCAAGGCGAGAACCUCUAAGGGUGUUGUACUCACCCGCUCGAGUAAGACUGUGAACUUGGUGCCUGGUAAGGCCAAGGAAAAGGUCGAUCAACCAUGAGUUGGAGGGCAUGGAGCGGUAUGUACAUGUUUGGCCUACCUGGCCACCAUGACUGGGGUAGUUUUGAGGAACGUUGUGGAAAUGAUUGAUUUUGUCACCUAGAUCGACUGUAUAAAGACUUUUGAGUUGUAAAUAUGUCCUAAAUAACAUUUUGGGAUCUCAUGUAACUUUUCAAUAAUUUUAAUGAAUGGUUAA